rnacentral:rRNA from 2 species
GGAUACCGAGGAGAUAGCCUGUGCCUAUCUUCCCGUGUGAGAGUGGCGCACGGGUGUCGUAACGUCGUGAGCAACCUGCCCAUAUACAGGGGGAUAGCCCGGAGAAAUGCCGGAUUAACACCGACAUGACACGUCCGAGGCACGGCAUCGUUACCGUGCGAUCAACUAUUCAUAGGGAUAUGGAUGGGNUCGCGUGACAUUAGCUUGUUGGUGGGGUAACGGCCCACCAACGCGACGAUGUCUAGGGGUCUCUGAGAGGAGAAUCCCCCACACUGGUACUGAGACACGGACCAGACUCCUACGGGAGGCAGCAGUACCGAAUAUGGGUCAAUG